ensembl:lncRNA
CUCAUCAGCACAAGUGGUUGCAAAGAAACAGGGAAAUGUGCUGCCCAGGGAGGUGGCGGAGUCACCAUCCCUGGAGGUGUUCAAGAACGGCAGAGAUGUGGCACUGAGGAACGUGCUCCGGAAGGCCUUUAAAGGAUGGGAUGUAACAUGGAGCCGAGCAGUUGGCAAACACUGAUUUUAAGUGCAUUUGUACUUUGCUGACUGAUCCCGGAAUGGUCAAAGGUGAUUCACUGUUUGCACUGUGUGAAGAAGGCUUCGGUCUUUGGUUCGGCUCGGAGCAGUCAAGUAGCAACAGGUGUGCUGACUGCAGGACGCAGUUGCCAUGCUCGCAAACAUAUCCACUGCACCUUAAUGGACAUGGUCUGUUGUGCAACCGGCCUCUGGCCAGGUAUGAGGCAGCCAGGUUCACAUCCACGCAUCCAAGCAACACGAUGUUAAACUGCAGCACUCAGCCAGGUGAUGUCCAUGGAGCUCUGCAAAGUGCAGUGCAUCCCAUAAACUUCUGGAUAUCAUGGGAUCUAACAGCACUCCCAGUUAGAUAUCCUUGGGCCUUUGCUGAUUUUUAAAGGUUUUUAUUUGGAAAGGACUUUCUGAACCACCAAGUCUCCUGUUACUGCAAGCAGCAAGAUGUUCAGCACCUCUGUCAGACUUUGGUCUCAGCGUAUCUUUUGAAAAGAAGGUGGUACCAUUUGAUACCAUGGGGUAUCAAAUGACCAGAACCUCCUAGCUGCUAUCCUACAUCCAUCUGUAGGUGGUUGGUAACCUAUUUUCCCCUUUGAAAGAUGUUUCAAGGACUUUUUUUUUUUUUUUGUCUUUACUUGAGCCAUUUGAUUCCCCUUUGUGAUGUACAUAUCUUAGAUGUCACCUCCUGUAAGAAACAGAAUAGCCCAGAAAAUGAAGUAGUAAGUCACGAUGGAAUCAAAGCUAAUGUCACUUGCAAAACAGCAGGCAGGGGGUUGAUGGGAAAUCUGGGAUCCACGGGGAGAGAACUUCAUCCUGCUUUUUGCAGCUGGAAAGAGGCUGUUCUGGAAUCCUGGGCUGAGAUGAGAUCUGUCUGGGGCUCAGGCUGGCACUGUCCAAGCCCAUCCAUUGUGGGCUAGUGGCUGUCUCCUCUACACACCUUCAUCUGAUCAGAUCUCCCCCUCCCUGAUUGCUGCCCCUCCAUCUCUGCCUUGCAGACAAAUGUGACGCACAGCCAUUGCCCCCCCUUCAUCACACCAAGCACCCUCUGCUCUUGAAUUCCUUUUUCUGUGAGCAGCAUUUGGGGAUGCAGAUUGACUGAAAGCUGUGAUACCAGAAAUAGAUUCCGAAUGACCCACCAGGAGCCUAGUACCCACUGAAGGAUUGGAAACACUUUUCUCACUCUUUUUCAAGGAAAAAGAAGCCACCUGCUUUUGUACACUCGCAGCAAGCACUGUCUGAUAGGGCUAUCCUCAGCAACCUGCCUUGCUGCAAAGCUUCUGAUCUAUCUGUCUUCAAAGCUGUUAGACCCAUGAUGUGUCCAUCUCUAACUGCUGAUGGUGUGCAUCUCCCUUACCAUCUUGGGUGUCAUCUCUUCUCCACCAUGUCACUGGAAGGGGCUGUAGUCUUCCAAGACUCUGUUGUUUUAGUGGAAGUAAUAUUCCUCAUCUUUUCCAGACUGCACCUGCCUUGUGUUAUCUAUUCUACAUACAUGCUGCUCUCUAAUAACUGCAGUGCAAGCCCAGUAGUAGAGAGCUGUAGGUAAGAUAUCAGGUGCAAAGGGCAACAAAACUGUGUAUUUGGGAUUUUAUGUUUAUACCUACAGCAUCUUCUAAAGGAACCUCAGCUGUGCAGCUGGGACCCAUAAGACCUGCCAGGAAAGAAAAAGCAAUUGGCAGAGCCCACUGCACCAUCCAGAUGAUCCCAUUUUCCUGGGCUCUAAUACAUGCCCCCUCUCCAGAAGUUCAAGGGUACUGAGAUCAGAUGUUUUGCCUGACCUCAUUAUACAUAGAGGGACCAUCUGCCAAAGCUCAGAUCUGGCUCAAGCUUCUUCCAAGUCCAAGUCUGGGAUUUUGACUUGAACCUCUGCCUAACUUAUUCAACCUCUGCCAGGACACAAUGAAAGCGUGUUGCAAGAUACCAAGAAUUCUUUCGUUAGUAGAAGUGCUGGACCAGAUUUUCAGCAAAGCUCAGAUCCUACUCUGAACUCCAAUUUCUGGACUGCCUUCAGAUGUGGCCAACAUCUUACAGCUCUCCUGCAAAGCCCAGCCUCUCCUUUCUUGCCUAUUUCAUACCCAUCUGCUAUGCUAUGGAACCCAUCCAAAAGCCUAUUAAUAGAGAAUAUAAACCUGACACGCAGUGCCUGGAAGACUCUGUUGUGGAGAGCACUGGAUGGUUUUCUCAACAGGCCAACUCAUGCUUCAUGAAAACAUUCACAGAUGCUUGCAGUGUUGAGGUUUAUGUCAGUUAUGGCCAUCAAAAGUCAUUUCUUCAUGAGAAAGAGGAACAGAUGGAAAAAGAGAGACCAGGAUGUGCUAGAGAUGACUCUCCAAUGCCUGUGGUACAUCAGGGGAAGGGCACUGCACAGCCAGCAGAGCUAUCCUUCCCCAAGGCAUAGCUGACAUAUCCCCUUGCCUGGGAGACCUGGCAAGUGAAUCUGACAUCAUUUCAUAGCUACCUGCAUGCCUUUCCUUUUUAAUUCACAGGCAUGGGAGUUCAUGUGGAAACUCCAAAGCUGUACUGGACCAAUGUGGGAACAUACAUAUAUAAGCCACAAUUCAGAAUCUAGUUCCACAUCUGCCCAUCUCAGGCUCUCUGCUGGAAAAGAAGCAUUUGGGGCAGAAGCUACGUGAGAAUAAUGAAAGGAACAGACUUAUACUUUGUCUCACUGAAAAAAUUGAGUUUCCUUAACAAACAGUGGAAUAGCAAUAAACUUCCCAGUAGGUAAAAGCAAACCCAUGCUGGUUACUGCUGUAUAUUCACAGCUGGCCUCACCUACCCUAUCUUGCCUGUGGGCAUGAGAUCAGUUCGUUCCACGAGUCACCCAGCUCUUGGUGCCAAAAAACUAAAGUUCCUGCCCAUCACAUCCGAGGCAGACAUUUCAAAGUUAAACACCUAGUCUGUUUUCAAUUUUUCCUUCAAAUACCAGAAGAGAUUGCACCACAUUAUGGGCUAAUCGCCUGUCAAAUUUAAUUUCUUAAGCUGAGGCUGCUUUAGAGCCAAGUGAAUGAAAAGGAAAAAAUAUCCUGUCCAAAUCCACUAAAUUAUUAUUUUUUAUGCCUGCGUAGUUACCUAGAAAUAGGAGCUCUUUCUUAACCUUCUUGUUUAACUUUAUGGCAAAUAUGUUACUGACAGAGUAGGGCAUUACAUGCAAAAUUUGAUCUUCCAAUAGGUCUUCAUGUCUAAAUUGUGAUGAACUAAAUUUCAUGAAAGUAGUUCUAGGUCCAGCUAGGAGCAAAGUCCUCCUCUGUAAUUAUUGCUGAAGAUCAAACACAGACCUUCGACUUUGCUCUGUUGGAGCAAGACUUCUCACUUUACAUAUAUCACUGUCCACCUAAGGAUCGCACAGUGACAUAAAGGUUUAAUGCUGUUCAGUCCUAGGAAGGGGUCCUGCUGAUUUAUCUGCUUGGUGUCCACCACAGCAUGAUAAAUGCCAUUAACACAGAGAGAACCGGGGCCUGAGGUGGAUUUUGUUGCAAACCUAAAACUAGGGUCAAACCCAAGUUCUCAUUCCUUAAAAUUUUGGUGGGUAGGUUUCAAAUUUUGACAGGAGGAUGAUGGAAGGACAUGUAGGUAUAAAUCCACACGUAACUGGAAAAAAUCUAAGAGUCUCUGUGUACCAGUCUUGGCUGGGAAUGUCUUGUAGCUCAGUUGUUAAAAUACCUAAAAAAUGGGUCUGGGCAUGGCUUAGCCUCUUGGUCCUAAGACCGUAAGAGCAAGCAGGACAAGAAAUGGAGAAAAUGGGAAAUUGAGACCAGAGCCCUUGGGAAGCUGGAAUGAGAAGGGAAACCUAAGGCUUCCUAAGGAAACUUUAAUUGAAACAGAAGUAAAAUAAGAGGCUUCCAGUAAAGACAGUAACCAUACAGCUAUCAAUAACUAUGAUAGCUUUGGGGCAGGGGUUAUGUCAAGUGAAUCUCAAAUUUCCAAUUUUCCAAUCCAGGUAGGUAUCGAUGGCAUUACUUUUUUCUCUUUUUAACUUGUGGAAGAAAACACAGUACAAAAGCUAGAAAAAUUACUUGGAAGGAAACAUCUCUAUCAAAAAGGGAUUUAUUUUGGACAAGUGCCAAAAAAAAAAAAAAAAAAAAAAAGAGGAAAACACAAAUUAAGAUUGCCUGAAAACCAGCUGAAAACCUUUGAUGUAACUGUAAUUAUUCUUGAUAUACUAUCAGAGAGACCAAGUCCAGCUCUGAUUUGCUGGUGUUUUUCAUCUGAGGAUCCCAACGUGCUUUAUAGCCUCCCACUGCCUUCUUUCUUGUAGGAAAGUAGAAGAGAAAUUUGUGACGGCUGAGUGCCUCAAGUCAUAUAGCCAACCAGUGACUGACAGAGCUACCAAGUGUCCUACCUCCCAGAUGCAGUCUAAGUUAUCAAUUUUCUCAUGUGAAUGUAGCCUAUAGCGAAUGAGUACUAUGAAAAAAAUUGAUUCCCAGCUCCCAUCACCUUCCAGAAGUGUCCUCCCCAUUUUGUCAGUGGUCAUCUGCCCCGAAGUCUCUCUCAUUUCCACUUUGCAUAUCUUGGAUGGCUCAGUCCUCUCUGCUCACUGCUGAUUUAACUGCCUUCCAUUGCACUGAGCAUUGUAGCAACACUUUGCGUAGCCAGAGGUGGAAGUAUUUAAUGGGGAAUGAGGUGGGUGUUUCUGAAAUGAUAAGAAUAAUUGUAAAAUCUGCAGUUAUUUUUUGAAACUAUCAUUGGUAAACAGGCUAUCAGCCAAGAGCACGAGACCUAAAUAAGCCAUGCAGACGUGGCCUGAAAGAAAGGCUUGAGGGAAUUUUACCACAUUCUUCAAACAUUUUAAGAGAUAAUGGGCUGCACCUGAACACAGUGGUUUCACACAUGUUAACCUAUGCACAGUGAGAUAAAGUUUUACUCUCCUGCUGCUAUAGUAGAGCAAUACCGCCGAAGUCUCCACCAUACCCACACUCCUCCUGCACCCACUCUGCUUUCAUGUGCAGCUCACCCACGCAGGGAAGGAAAAGCACCAAACAUUCCCUUCUUGUCACCUGGAGGGAGGCUGCCGAAAUGGUUGGACCUCGUUCAGCAGCUGUCCCUGAUAGAUUCAUUCUGCUGGUGUACAUUCAUAUCCAUCCAUUCAGAUCUACCUCCUUUGUUGGAGCAGGUCUUACAGUGUAGUUUUCAGGCGAAGGAAUUGGUUACGCUGCUUAAGGCUUUGAGCAGCUCAGCACAGCAGGAUUUUGGAGGGCAGCUUUGCAGCAGGAAGGGCGGUGGUGUCAGGUGAAACACAAAGCGUGCUCACCAAACAAGCCCAGAAAUAUGACUGUCCUCCUCCCCUGUUCUCCCCCCUUUCCUAUUUCAACACACAGAAAUGCCAGUUUUAACAGAGCCGACUUAGAAAGGCAGCAAGCAUAGCAAGCAUGAAGGUCUGAGUAUUAAUCUGGAAAUAAGAUGAAUAAAUAGCCUUGGGAGAAUGCUUGCCUGCUAUCUCUCCAGCCACAGCUCCUUGCCUCUCUGGGGAAUUGCUGCUCCACGUACAAAUCAGUUACUCCACUGAAAUUAUUUCCCUUCUCCAUGGGCCCAAUCUCCAGGGCCCACGCUACCUCCUGAAUCCACAUCCCAAGCCAAGACCUGAAGAAGGAACCUGGGUCCCAGGCAGCACAGGGCCACCCUUCCCUUCAGUAGGUCUCCAGGGUGUACAGCCAAGGACUCAGUAGAGGAUCUCAGUGUUCCCACCCCAGCGUGGACACAGCCAGUGCCCGUUUUCUCUUUGGUCUCUGUUUUCCUUUUGACUCCUCCGAGAGGUUCAUCAAGUGGCUGAGUGUCAGGCUGGGAAACAGAAAAUAGGAGAACAACCUUCAUGCCAGUGCCUUAAAAUAAAGGUUUGAGCUUCUGAGAAUUAGGGUAAUGGAAAUACCUGCAAUCAGACAGCUUCAGAGAGGAACAGUUCGAGAGAAAUCAAGGCUCAGAGGAUGGACUGGUGUCAACAGUCCUGUCAUCAACAAGAGAAUCCUUCUGAAACCGCUCAUUCACCUCUGCAGGAAAACUGGUCCUCCAAAGCAAGGAGCAGCAGCUAAAAUCAAUGCACAGCCCAAGCUGAGCGGAGAGGUUUUAAUCAAUCUGAGAAGCCAUUUAUUGUGAAGAUCCAACAAAGCAACAGAUAUUAUCACUAUUACACAUGAAACUGGAACAUGGAAAACAAAAAAGGAGCAGUGAGCUCUUGCUUUGAGGGGGCUGGAAAGCGUACCUGUUGUUUCUCUCUGAGACUUAAUAGCAGCAUAGCAAGAGACGAUAAAUCAAGGAGGGGAGAUUGGGGAUGAUUCAGUCCCAACUACUCAUCAAUGCCGAGUUUAGAACAGGAAUGAAUUUGCUUCCCUAAGCUUAGGAAGGAGAAGACAGCGCAGUCCUUAAGGUGAGUGAUGUUUUCCAUCGAGAGACCUGGGUGAAAUAUGGAGGAGCUGUGAGCAGGUUGGCUCCUGGCUGAAAGGACAGUGUAUGGGGGCAGAUAUUUGGGGCAUGGACGAAGAGUAAAUAAAUAUCUUAUGUAUCCAUCUGAGCCACAAGAGAGAAUUGGCCAUUUUUCUUUCCCUCAGUGGGGUUUUGAGAAACUGGAGCUUCAA